rnacentral:rRNA from 1 species
UACGUAGGGUGCGAGCGUUGUCCGGAAUUAUUGAGCGUAAAGAGCUUGUAGGCGGUUUGUCGCGUCUGCCGUGAAAAUCCGGGGCUCAACCCCGGACUUGCGGUGGGUACGGGCAGACUAGAGUGUGGUAGGGGAGACUGGAAUUCCUGGUGUAGCGGUGAAAUGCGCAGAUAUCAGGAGGAACACCGGUGGCGAAGGCGGGUCUCUGGGCAGUAACUGACGCUGAGGAGCGAAAGCGUGGGGAGCGAACAGG